rnacentral:rRNA from 1 species
GGAAUAUUGGACAAUGGGGGCAACCCUGAUCCAGCAAUGCCGCGUGUGUGAAGAAGGUCUUCGGAUUGUAAAGCACUUUCGACGGGGACGAUGAUGACGGUACCCGUAGAAGAAGCCCCGGCUAACUUCGUGCCAGCAGCCGCGGUAAUACGAAGGGGGCUAGCGUUGCUCGGAAUGACUGGGCGUAAAGGGCGUGUAGGCGGUUUACACAGUCGGAUGUGAAAUCC